rnacentral:rRNA from 1 species
ACAAUGGAGAGUUUGAUCCUGGCUCAGGAUGAACGCUGGCGGCGUGCCUAAUACAUGCAAGUCGGACGCUUCACAUAAGUGAAGAGU